AGAGUUUGAUCCUGGCUCAGGAUGAACGCUGACAGAAUGCUUAACACAUGCAAGUCGACUGGAAUUCUUCUUCGGAAGAUAGUACGGUGGCGGACGGGUGAGUAACGCGUAAAGAAUUUGCCCUUCAGACUGGGACAACUAACCGAAAGGUUAGCUAAUACCGGAUAUUAUGAGACCUCGGCAUCGGGGACUUAUGAAAGCUAUAUGCGCUGGGGGAGAACUUUGCGUCCCAUUAGGUAGUUGGUAGGGUAAUGGCCUACCAAGCCAACGAUGGGUAGCCGGCCUGAGAGGGUGAACGGCCACAAGGGGACUGAGACACGGCCCUUACUCCUACGGGAGGCAGCAGUGGGGAAUAUUGGACAAUGGACCAAAAGUCUGAUCCAGCAAUUCUGUGUGCACGAUGAAGGUCUUCGGAUUGUAAAGUGCUUUCAGGUGGGAAGAAGAAAGUGACGGUACCACCAGAAGAAGCGACGCUAAAUA
rnacentral:rRNA from 1 species